rnacentral:rRNA from 1 species
CCUACGGGAGGCAGCAGUGGGGAAUUUUGGACAAUGGGCGCAAGCCUGAUCCAGCCAUGCCGCGUGCAGGAUGAAGGCCUUCGGGUUGUAAACUGCUUUUGUACGGAACGAAAAGACUCUGGUUAAUACCUGGGGUCCAUGACGGUACCGUAAGAAUAAGCACCGGCUAACUACGUGCCAGCAGCCGCGGUAAUACGUAGGGUGCGAGCGUUAAUCGGAAUUACUGGGCGUAAAGCGUGCGCAGGCGGUUAUAUAAGACAGAUGUGAAAUCCCCGGGCUCAACCUGGGAACUGCAUUUGUGACUGUAUAGCUAGAGUACGGCAGAGGGGGAUGGAAUUCCGCGUGUAGCAGUGAAAUGCGUAGAUAUGCGGAGGAACACCGAUGGCGAAGGCAAUCCCCUGGGCCUGUACUGACGCUCAUGCACGAAAGCGUGGGGAGCAAACAGGAUUAGAUACCCUGGUAGUCCACGCCCUAAACGAUGUCAACUGGUUGUUGGGUCUUCACUGACUCAGUAACGAAGCUAACGCGUGAAGUUGACCGCCUGGGGAAGUCGGCCGCAAGGUUGAAACUCAAAUGAAUUGACCGGNNGAGAGNGCGAGGACGACACGAGGGGAGGAGG